GUAUCAGACAAACAUAUUUUAAACCCUCUCUUUUUCUAUUGGUUUCUGUUUUUCUUUCAAAUAAUAUGGUUUGCCCCACACUGACAGAUCUUUGUUUAAAGGGUUUCCUAUCAGAGACCUGCACCUGUACUGGGGAAUCACCUGCACUGAAAUUUUGAGUCCUAAUGGGAGCAAGGCUACCUUUCUCAUUACAGAGUUUUUACUUUUAAUUAGCUCCUUCCUCUUGCUGACACCUGCAGUAUUUGGCUCCUGGUUGGGAGGCUGGAGCACUCGACGCCUUCCCUGUUCUUCCCUUGGUGAGCCAGUUGGAGAAGAAAGAACUAAACCACCUCCCGCGUCUGAAAAAGUAGCAUAGGAUAUCAUACAUGCAGAAAGAUGUCUGUGGGGAACCACAUUUUUUUCAUCAAUAUCCAUACGUGUAUUGCUCCUUUAACUAGAAGAAAAAUGAAGAGAGCAAAAUCAGACAAUUACCUGAUUAAACUCUUCUGAUCUGAAGAACUGAAUAGAAACUGACUAAUGCAAUUCCUCUGCAGCGUCCUCUCUGGAAAAAAAA